UUUAGUACGUAAGCGCCAUGGAUGGCGAAUCGUGCAUGCUGCUACUAAGAACCAGCAGUAUAUUCCGAAGAUUU
rfam:Glossina austeni unplaced genomic scaffold Scaffold32, whole genome shotgun sequence.